rnacentral:rRNA from 1 species
AACGUAGGAGACAAACGUUAUCCGGAGUUACUGGGCGUAAAGGGCGUGCAGGUGGUCUGUUAAGUCUGGCGUGAAAGCUCCUGGCUAAACCGGGAGAGGUCGUUGGAUACUGGCGGACUAGAGGACGGUAGAGGCGUGUGGAAUUCCGGGUGUAGUGGUGAAAUGCGUAGAGAUCCGGAGGAACACCAGUGGCGAAGGCGACUUCCUGGCCUGUUCUUGACGCUGAGGCGCGAAAGCUAGGGUAGCAAACGGG